rnacentral:rRNA from 1 species
UACGGAGGAUGCAAGCGUUAUCCGGAAUGAUUGGGCGUAAAGCGUCCGCAGGUGGCCAUGUAAGUCUGCUGUCAAAGCGUCUGGCUCAACCAGAUAAAGGCAGUGGAAACUACAUAGCUAGAGUAAGGUAGGGGUAGAGGGAAUUCCUGGUGUAGCGGUGAAAUGCGUAGAGAUCAGGAAGAACACCGGUGGCGAAAGCGAUCUGCUGGACCUUAACUGACACUGAGGGACGAAAGCUAGGGGAGCGAAUGGG